rnacentral:rRNA from 1 species
GACGAACGCUGGCGGCGUGCUUAACACAUGCAAGUCGAACGCUGAAGCCCUUCGGGGUGGAUGAGUGGCGAACGGGUGAGUAACACGUGGGUAAUCUGCCCUGCACUUUGGGAUAAGCCUUGGAAACGGGGUCUAAUACCGGAUAGGACACAUCGCCGCAUGGUGUGUGUGUGGAAAGUUCCGGCGGUGCAGGUUGAGCCCGCGGCCUAUCAGCUAGUUGGUGAGGUAACGGCUCACCAAGGCAACGAUCAGUAUCCGGCCUGAGAGGGCGGACGGACACACUGGAACUGAGACACGGUCCAGACUCCUACGGGAGGCAGCAGUGGGGAAUAUUGCGCAAUGGGGGCAACCCUGACGCAGCAACGCCGCGUGAGUGAUGAAGGUCUUCGGAUCGUAAAGCUCUGUCGGCAGGAACGAUGGGUCAGUUGGCUAAUAUCCAACGGACUUGACGGUACCUGCAAAGGAAGCACCGGCUAACUC